GAUGAACGCUGGCGGCGUGCCUAAUACAUGCAAGUCGAGCGAACAGACGAGGAGCUUGCUCCUCUGACGUUAGCGGCGGACGGGUGAGUAACACGUGGAUAACCUACCUAUAAGACUGGGAUAACUUCGGGAAACCGGAGCUAAUACCGGAUAAUAUAUUGAACCGCAUGGUUCAAUAGUGAAAGACGGUUUUGCUGUCACUUAUAGAUGGAUCCGCGCCGCAUUAGCUAGUUGGUAAGGUAACGGCUUACCAAGGCAACGAUGCGUAGCCGACCUGAGAGAGUGAUCGGCCGCACUGGAACUGAGACACGGACCAGACUCCUACGGGAGGCAGCAGUAGGGAAUCUUCCGCAGUGGGCGAAAGCCUUGCGGAGCAACGCCGCGUGAGUGGUGAAGGUCUUCGGAGCGUAAAACUCUGUUAUUAGGGAAGAACAAAUGUGUAAGUAACUAUGCACGUCUUGACGGUACCUAAUCAGAAAGCCACGGCUAACUACGUG
rnacentral:rRNA from 1 species